CCCCCUUGGCAAUAGGCAAAGAGACAUCUUGGUGGUGGUGUGCUUCUUCAUCAGUCAGGGGCUGAGCAGAUGGCAGCCCUUUGUUCAUCUUAGCUUGAUUCCUGACUUGAUAGCCAAAGCUGUCUUAUGCCUAGGACUCAUCA